AACGCGAAGAACCUUACCUACCCUUGACAUGGAAGGAAUCCCGAAGAGAUUUGGGAGUGCUCGAAAGAGAACCUUUACACAGGUGCUGCAUGGCUGUCGUCAGCUCGUGUCGUGAAAUGUUGGGUUAAGUCCCGCAACGAGCGCAACCCUUGUCAUUAGUUGCUACGAAAGGGCACUCUAAUGAGACUGCCGGUGACAAACCGGAGGAAGGUGGGGAUGACGUCAAGUCCUCAUGGCCCUUAUGGGUAGGGCUUCACACGUCAUACAAUGGUCGGAACAGAGGGUCGCCAACCCGCGAGGGGGAGCUAAUCCCAGAAAACCGAUCGUAGUCCGGAUCGCAGUCUGCAACUCGACUGCGUGAAGCUGGAAUCGCUAGUAAUCGCGGAUCAGCAUGCCGCGGUGAAUACGUUCCCGGGUCUUGUACACACGC
rnacentral:rRNA from 1 species